GAAUUCGCCCUUAGAGUUUGAUCCUGGCUCAGGACGAACGCUGGCGGCGCGCCUAACACAUGCAAGUCGAACGAGAGAUGAGGAGCUUGCUCUUCAAAUCGAGUGGCGAACGGGUGAGUAACGCGUGAGGAACCUGCCUCAAAGAGGGGGACAACAGUUGGAAACGACUGCUAAUACCGCAUAAGCCCACGGCUCGGCAUCGAGCAGAGGGAAAAGGAGCAAUCCGCUUUGAGAUGGCCUCGCGUCCGAUUAGCUAGUUGGUGAGGUAACGGCCCACCAAGGCGACGAUCGGUAGCCGGACUGAGAGGUUGAACGGCCACAUUGGGACUGAGACACGGCCCAGACUCCUACGGGAGGCAGCAGUGGGGAAUAUUGCACAAUGGGGGAAACCCUGAUGCAGCGACGCCGCGUGGAGGAAGAAGGUCUUCGGAUUGUAAACUCCUGUUGUCGAGGAAGAUAAUGACGGUACUCAACAAGGAAGUGACGGCUAACUACGUGCCAGCAGCCGCGGUAAAACGUAGGUCACAAGCGUUGUCCGGAAUUACUGGGUGUAAAGGGAGCGCAGGCGGGAGAACAAGUUGGAAGUGAAAUCCAUGGGCUCAACCCAUGAACUGCUUUCAAAACUGUUUUUCUUGAGUAGUGCAGAGGUAGGCGGAAUUCCCGGUGUAGCGGUGGAAUGCGUAGAUAUCGGGAGGAACACCAGUGGCGAAGGCGGCCUACUGGGCACCAACUGACGCUGAGGCUCGAAAGUGUGGGUAGCAAACAGGAUUAGAUACCCUGGUAGUCCACACCGUAAACGAUGAUUACUAGGUGUUGGAGGAUUGACCCCUUCAGUGCCGCAGUUAACACAAUAAGUAAUCCACCUGGGGAGUACGACCGCAAGGUUGAAACUCAAAGGAAUUGACGGGGGCCCGCACAAGCAGUGGAGUAUGUGGUUUAAUUCGACGCAACGCGAAGAACCUUACCAAGUCUUGACAUCCCUUGACGAUGCCGGAAACAGUAUUUCUCUUCGGAGCAAGGAGACAGGUGGUGCAUGGUUGUCGUCAGCUCGUGUCGUGAGAUGUUGGGUUAAGUCCCGCAACGAGCGCAACCCUUAUGGUCAGUUACUACGCAAGAGGACUCUGGCCAGACUACCGUUGACAAAACGGAGGAAGGUGGGGAUGACGUCAAAUCAUCAUGCCCUUUAUGACUUGGGCUACACACGUACUACAAUGGCGUUAAACAAAGAGAAGCAAGACCGCGAGGUGGAGCAAAACUCAGAAACAACGUCCCAGUUCGGACUGCAGGCUGCAACUCGCCUGCACGAAGUCGGAAUUGCUAGUGAUCGUGGAUCAGCAUGCCACGGUGAAUACGUUCCCGGGCCUUGCACACACCGCCCGUCA
rnacentral:rRNA from 1 species